AAUUAAGCGGAGGAAAAGAAACUAACAAGGAUUCCAUUAGUAACGGCGAGUGAAACUGGAUCUAGUUCAGCCUGUGAAUCGCUAUCUUGUGUAGCGAGUUGUGGCCUAUAGAGGGUCUGUCGGCCUGCGUUUCUGACUAACUGUAAUGGAACUUACGGGCGUAGAGGUUGAGACCACCGUUCAUGUCAGUUUCGUUAGGCCAUGGCAUAGACCCUCCAAGAGUCAGUUUGUUUGGGAGUACAGACUAAAGUGCGAGGUAAAUUUCUCGUAAAACUAAAUAUUGGUGGGAAACCGAUAGCGAACAAGUAGUGUGAACGAAAGUUGCAAAGAACUUUGAAAAGAGAGUUAAAGAGUACUCGAAAUCGUCGAAAGGGAAGCGAUAAGAAACAGUGUGAAUCCGUGCCAUUCUUCUUCCAUCACUUGUGGUGGGAGCGCUGUGGUUCGGAGUCUGUUCACGAGGGUUUGGAUCGGUGUAUAGCGUUCCCUGGGAGGCAUACGUUUUUUCGUAGAUUACCAGGUUUCUGCAACGUCGGUCUGGAUCGAGGCUAGUAU
rnacentral:rRNA from 1 species